rnacentral:lncRNA from 1 species
CCCAGAUCUCUGCAGCCCAGCUUGCUUUUGUCCUAGACUAAAUCGAUAGCAAUCCAGCCUCCAGAAGUCUAAUCUAUUUCUUUAUUUGCAGAGUCUCUCUGGGGUGACACCCUUGGCCAGAGAAGACAACACUGGCACUCUCCUGUCAGAGUCCGAAAGCUCAAGAUGUAGAUGCUGUUACCACCUUGCCUGGGGCUUCCUGCUACUUGGCUGUCUUGAGUCAACAAUAGCCAAGGGGACAGAAGAAAGAGAGAAAAGUUAUAUCUAUAUGUUUGAACACAGGUUUGAUCCCUAAUGGAAUGGACGCUGGAGAUGAGGCAAACACAGCCCAGAGAGAACCACCAUUGUGACGCAUUAGAGAAGCACCCAUGACGAUCAAUCACUGCUGAUGGUAAAUACAACAUAGAGGCUAUGAAAAUUCUUCAUUUUCUCCCCUUCUUAAACUAAUCCUGCUUACACAGUGCUGUUUUGACUGUUGAAUUGAUGGAGGUGUUGAAUUGUGGAUAUUGGAUUGUGACUCACUGUGGGCACUUUUAAUCAGACCAGGGUCCAGGGUAUUCUGAGUUUAAAAUAUUUUCGUUUUGGACUUUCGCUGUUGUAUUCCAAGAAGAGGGAAGAGGAAGUUGGUGUCAUGAGGGAGUUAGGAGACCAGGGGUCUCGGUUUAUUUUCACAUCAGCCGCUUAGGGCUUUGGUUCCUCAUGCCUUAGCCUGAAUUAGGUUCCCAUCAGUGUGAAUGAUGUGAGUGUGAUGUCUUAAACUUUAUCCUGGGUGGGUCUAGUGUCCCUCACAAAGAGCAAAGGAAACCCAAGGCCCAAGGAACUGUACCAGGCACCAGAAAGACAAAUGAAGAGUCUUUGGGCUUCUGAGUUCUCAAUUUUAAAUCCCAACCUCUGUAGAAAGCCUGGAGGUCAAAGCCAGCCAGGUUUGAAUAAGUCAG